GAUGAACGCUGGCGGCGUGCCUAAUACAUGCAAGUCGAGCGAACAGACGAGGAGCUUGCUCCUCUGACGUUAGCGGCGGACGGGUGAGUAACACGUGGAUAACCUACCUAUAAGACUGGGAUAACUUCGGGAAACCGGAGCUAAUACCGGAUAAUAUAUUGAACCGCAUGGUUCAAUAGUGAAAGACGGUUUUGCUGUCACUUAUAGAUGGAUCCGCGCCGCAUUAGCUAGUUGGUAAGGUAACGGCUUACCAAGGCAACGAUGCGUAGCCGACCUGAGAGGGUGAUCGGCCAUACUGGAACUGAGACACGGUCCAGGCUCCUACGGGAGGCAGCAGUAGGGAAUCUUCCGCAAUGGGCGAAAGCCUGACGGAGCAACGCCGCGUGAGUGAUGAAGGUCUUCGGAUCGUAAAACUCUGUUAUUAGGGAAGAACAAAUGUGUAAGUAACUAUGCACGUCUUGACGGUACCUAAUCAGAAAGCCACGGCUAACUACGUG
rnacentral:rRNA from 1 species